rnacentral:rRNA from 1 species
AACGAACGCUGGCGGCGUGCCUAAUACAUGCAAGUCGAGCGAGAAAGUGGCUUCGGUCAUGAGUAAAGCGGCAGACGGGUGAGUAAUACAUAGGUAACCUACCCUAUAGUUGGGAAUAACCUUCCGAAAGGAGGGCUAAUACCGAAUGAGACCACAGUAUCUAAGGAUACCGGGGUUAAAGAAGGCCUCUAUUUAUAAGCUUUCGCUAAAGGAUGGGCUUAUGCACCAUUAGCCUGUUGGAGGUAAUGGCCUACCAAAGCUAUGAUGGUUA